CUGGCUCAGGAUGAACGCUAGCUACAGGCUUAACACAUGCAAGUCGAGGGGCAGCAUUGGAGUAGCAAUACUCAGAUGGCGACCGGCGCACGGGUGGGUAACACGUAUCCAACCUGCCGCUUACUCGGGGAUAGCCUUUCGAAAGAAAGAUUAAUACCCGAUGGUAUAAAGAGUUCGCAUGUUCUCUUUAUUAAAGAAUUUCGGUAAGCGAUGGGGAUGCGUUCCAUUAGAUAGUUGGCGGGGUAACGGCCCACCAAGUCUACGAUGGAUAGGGGUUCUGAGAGGAAGGUCCCCCACAUUGGAACUGAGACACGGUCCAAACUCCUACGGGAGGCAGCAGUGAGGAAUAUUGGUCAAUGGACGAGAGUCUGAACCAGCCAAAAGUAGCGUGAAGGAUGACUGCCCUAUGGGUUGUAAACUUCUUUUAUAAGGGAAUAAAGUGAGGGACGUGUCCCUUUUUGUAUGUACCUUAUGAAUAAGGAUCGGCUAACUCCGUGCCAGCCGCCGC
rnacentral:rRNA from 1 species